rnacentral:rRNA from 1 species
CACCACAACAGGUGGAGCCUGCGGUUAAUCGGACUCAACGCCGGGAAACUCACCAGAUAAGACAGCUGAAUGAUAGUCGGGCUGAAGACUCUACUUGACUAGCUGAGAGAGGUGCAUGGCCGUCGUCAGUUCGUACUGUGAAGCAUCCUGUUAAGUCAGGCAACGAGCGAGACCCACGCCAACAGUUGCCAGCUCGUCCUCCGGGGAUGGUGGGGACACUGUUGGGGCCGCCUCUGCUAAAGAGGAGGAAGGAAUGGGCAACGGUAGGUCAGCAUGCCCCGAAUUAUCUGGGCUACACGCGGGCUACAAUGGAUGGGACAAUGGGUAUCGACACCGAAAGGUGAAGGCAAUCUCCUAAACCCAUCCGUAGUUCGGAUUGUGGGCUGCAACUCGCCCACAUGAAGCUGGAAUCUGUAGUAAUCGUGUCUCAAAAUGGCACGGUGAAUAUGUCCCUGCUCCUU